CUUUCAACGGUGGAUAUCUUGGCUCACACAACGAUGAAGAACGCAGCGAA
rnacentral:rRNA from 14 species